GGGACCCGCACAAGUGGUGGAGCAUGUGGUUUAUUCGGAAGAUACGCGAAGAACCUUACCUGGCCUUGACAUUGAUAGAAUCUGCUAGAGAUAGCGGAGUGCCCUUCGGGGAGCUUGAAAACAGGUGCUGCACGGCUGUCGUCAGCUCGUGUCGUGAGAUGUUGGGUUAAGUCCCGCAACGAGCGCAACCCUCGUCACUAGUUACUAACGGUUCGGCCGAGGACUCUAGUGAGACUGCCUUCGUAAGGAGGAGGAAGGUGAGGACGACGUCAAGUCAUCAUGGCCCUUACGGCCAGGGCGACACACGUGCUACAAUGGGAUGUACAAUGAGACGCAAUACCGCGAGGUGGAGCAAAUCUAUAAAGCAUCUCUCAGUUCGGAUUGUAGUCUGCAACUCGACUACAUGAAGCUGGAAUCACUAGUAAUCGUAGAUCAGCCAUGCUACGGUGAAUACGUUCCCGGGUCUUGUACUCACCGCCCGUCACGCCAUGGGAGUUGAUUUCACCCGAAGCGGGGAAGCUAAACUGGCUACCCUCCACGGUGGAAUCAGCGACUGGG
rnacentral:rRNA from 1 species